ACUCCUGCGGGAGGCAGCAGUGGGGAAUUUUGGACAAUGGGCGAAAGCCUGAUCCAGCAAUGCCGCGUGAGUGAAGAAGGCCUUCGGGUUGUAAAGCUCUUUUGUCAGGGAAGAAACGGUGAAAGCUAAUAUCUUUUGCUAAUGACGGUACCUGAAGAAUAAGCACCGGCUAACUACGUGCCAGCAGCCGCGGUAAUACGUAGGGUGCAAGCGUUAAUCGGAAUUACUGGGCGUAAAGCGUGCGCAGGCGGUUUUGUAAGUCUGAUGUGAAAUCCCCGGGCUCAACCUGGGAAUUGCAUUGGAGACUGCAAGGCUAGAAUCUGGCAGAGGGGGGUAGAAUUCCACGUGUAGCAGUGAAAUGCGUAGAUAUGUGGAGGAACACCGAUGGCGAAGGCAGCCCCCUGGGUCAAGAUUGACGCUCAUGCACGAAAGCGUGGGGAGCAAACAGGAUUAGAUACCCGUGUAGUCCCAUGA
rnacentral:rRNA from 1 species